GAGGAUUCCUGACAUUUGUUUUCCCUCCUGGGAGCAGAGGGCUGGGAGAGCUCUCGGGGACGCUGAGCUGGUGUCACUUCACCCAUGACAGAAUUGCUCCCUGUGUGAUUUUGGGCUGAUUUAUCAGGCAUUUGAGGAGGGAUUUGUUUUGUGUGAGAUGCUGGCAGAGUGGCUGAGGAACAAACCCCUGGUUUUUGUUUUUUCUCCCUUGGCAAGAUCUAACAGUUACAAACGGAACGGCAGAGCUGCUGCACACGGAGCACAUCUGGUACCCCCGGAUACGAGAGCUACAUCCUGCCAAGAGCCCUGCAGCCAAGAGGGCUGACAGUCUCCUGAGACCACAACGCUGCUCUAAUCCAGCUUCUAAGGAGCACUUGUGACCAAUGCAGCACACACUCUGCCCCUAGGAGCUAGGAGCAUCACCUCGUGGCGCACCAACCCUUGCCGUUCGAUCUGAGAGCUGAAAGAUCCAAGGUGCCAUCAUCAUGUCGUCGCUGAUCGAGGUGGUGAUCGGGCUGCUGGGGCUGCCCGGGGCUCUGCUGCGCUACAUCGGCCCCCUGACCAUCACCCCCACCGUGGCCCUCAUCGGCCUCUCGGGCUUCCAGGCUGCUGGGGAGAGAGCUGGCAAGCACUGGGGCAUCGCCAUGCUGUGAGUACCCUGCUGGGGAGACAGGGGUUUGGGUGAUGGGGAGGCUGCUGAGCGCUGCCAGCGCGGAGAAACAACGGGGCAGGAACGGGGAUGAGUCGAGUUCAGCUGGAAAUGUGGAGAGCAGCAGGUCAGGACAGCAGGAGCUGAGGAGAGCAGGAGCUCAGGAGAGCAGGAGAGCAGGAGCUGAGGAGAGCAGGAGC